rnacentral:rRNA from 1 species
GUGAGUGGCGAACGGUUGAGUAACACGUGGACAACCUGCCUCAAGGCUGGGGAUAACAUUUGGAAACAGAUGCUAAUACCGAAUAAAACUUAAUGUCGCAUGACAAAAAGUUAAAAGGCGCUUCGGCGUCACCUAGAGAUGGAUCCGCGGUGCAUUAGUUAGUUGGUGGGGUAAAGGCCUACCAAGACAAUGAUGCAUAGCCGAGUUGAGAGACUGAUCGGCCACAUUGGGACUGAGACACGGCCCAAACUCCUACGGGAGGCUGCAGUAGGGAAUCUUCCACAAUGGGCGAAAGCCUGAUGGAGCAACGCCGCGUGUGUGAUGAAGGCUUUCGGGUCGUAAAGCACUGUUGUAUGGGAAGAACAGCUAGAAUAGGAAAUGAUUUUAGUUUGACGGUACCAUACCAGAAAGGGACGGCUAAAUACGUGCCAGCAGCCGCGGUAAUACGUAUGUCCCGAGCGUUAUCCGGAUUUAUUGGGCGUAAAGCGAGCGCAGACGGUUUAUUAAGUCUGAUGUGAAAGCCCGGAGCUCAACUCCGGAAUGGCAUUGGAAACUGGUUAACUUGAGUGCAGUAGAGGUAAGUGGAACUCCAUGUGUAGCGGUGGAAUGCGUAGAUAUAUGGAAGAACACCAGUGGCGAAGGCGGCUUACUGGACUGCAACUGACGUUGAGGCUCGAAAGUGUGGGUAGCAAACAGGAUUAGAUACCCUGGUAGUCCACACCGUAAACGAUGAACACUAGGUGUUAGGAGGUUUCCGCCUCUUAGUGCCGAAGCUAACGCAUUAAGUGUUCCGCCUGGGGAGUACGACCGCAAGGUUGAAACUCAAAGGAAUUGACGGGGACCCGCACAAGCGGUGGAGCAUGUGGUUUAAUUCGAAGCAACGCGAAGAACCUUACCAGGUCUUGACAUCCUUUGAAGCUUUUAGAGAUAGAAGUGUUCUCUUCGGAGACAAAGUGACAGGUGGUGCAUGGUCGUCGUCAGCUCGUGUCGUGAGAUGUUGGGUUAAGUCCCGCAACGAGCGGCAC